rnacentral:tRNA from 1 species
GGGGAUUUAGCUCAGUGGUGCCACCGCCUGCCUUACAAGCACAAGGUCCUGAGUUUGAUUCUCAGUACCCCCA